CUGAUGUCAAAAAUAGACUUCCCAUUCUUUCCAAAGUGUGGCAAAAAUAACCACAUGCCUUUCUUGGCCUCCCGACUCUCACCCUAGAGGGUUUUCUUGUAUAGGAACCAACAAUGCUUUGGAUGGAAACUCUGGAUAGGCUGGUCAUUAUUUUAAGAUUUAGGAGAUUGCAGAUUCUUGGCAGACCUUGGUUGUUUUUCUAGAGUAGUAGGCAAGUAGUUGGACAAAAAGCAAGGAGCCGAUCCAUGUUGCUGGCUUUGGGUUCUUCGUGAACAAAUGAGGCAAGAUGGGCAACUGACCAGAGGCCUUGACAGUGUCCGCUGAUGUGGCGUAAGAAGGUGAUCUGGACCAUGCUGACGUCCCCCUUCCUCCUCCUAGGCAUUCGAAGUAAGGAACGUCCAGAGCAUCUGUUCCGUCCAUGAUGGGAAGAGGUAAGAGCAGAGACUGCCAGUGGUUUGCUAAUUGUCUUCAAGUGAAAAGACUGUUUAAUUCAGAAGAGAUUUUAGACUCCCAGGGGUGUGACGCCCAUCAUUUCACAAUGGAGAAUUAUUUUGUGGUAUUUAUUUUACGAUUCCUGACCCUUGUUCUAAAUCUUGCUGGUGUGUUUUCAUUUAAAAUGUAUUAACUGAAACUUGGCAUCGUGACUUGGCUCUAUUAAGCUCUACAACAGCUUAAUCCAGAUUUUAUUAUACUGGGACUUGAGUAUAUGAACUGUAAUAUGGGAGAAGCUUGGGGAUAAAUAAAGUAAUUUUGAUACUUACUAUGCA
rnacentral:lncRNA from 1 species